GUACCCCGGCUGAACUUAAGCAUUUCAAUAAGCGGAGGAAAAGAAACUUAACAAGGAUUCCCCUAGUAACUGCGAGUGAAGCGGGAAAAGCUCAAAUUUAAAAUCUGGCAGUCUUUGGCUGUCCGAAUUGUAUUCUGGAGAAGCGUUUUCCGCGCUGGACCGUGUACAAGUCUCUUGGAAUAGAGCGUCAUAGAGGGUGAGAAUCCCGUCUUUGACACGGACUACCAGUGCUUUGUGAUGCGCUCUCAAAGAGUCGAGUUGUUUGGGAAUGCAGCUCAAAAUGGGUGGUGAAUUCCAUCUAAAGCUAAAUAUUGGCGAGAGACCGAUAGCGAACAAGUACCGUGAGGGAAAGAUGAAAAGCACUUUGGAAAGAGAGUUAAACAGUACGUGAAAUUGCUGAAAGGGAAACGCUUGAAGUCAGUCGCGUCAUUCAGAACUCAGCCUGGCUUUUGCUUGGUGUAUUUUCUGGUUGACGGGCCAGCAUCAAUUUUGACCGCUGGAAAAAGGCCAUAGGAAUGUGGCACCCUCGGGUGUGUUAUAGCCUAUGGUCAUAUACAGCGGUUGGGAUUGAGGACCGCAGCACGCCUUUAUGGUUGGGGUUCGCCCACAUUCGUGCUUAGGAUGCUGGCGUAAUGGCUUUAAACGACCCGUCUUGAAACACGGACCAAGGAGUCUAACAUGCCUGCGAGUGUUUGGGUGGAAAACCCGAGCGCACAAUGAAAGUGAAAGUUGGGAUCCCUGUCGUGGGGAGCACCGACGCCCGGACCAGACCUUUUGUGACGGAUCCGCGGUAGAGCAUGUAUGUUGGGACCCGAAAGAUGGUGAACUAUGCCUGAAUAGGGUGAAGCCAGAGGAAACUCUGGUGGAGGCUCGUAGCGAUUCUGACGUGCAAAUCGAUCGUCAAAUUUGGGUAUAGGGGCGAAAGACUAAUCGAACCAUCUAGUAGCUGGUUCCUGCCGAGUCUUCCUCUCCCGAGGUAA
rnacentral:rRNA from 1 species